rnacentral:rRNA from 1 species
UCCGUAGGUGACCUCGGAGGGAUCAUUACCGAG